GCCAGGGCGGGCCCCUGACCUGACAUGGGUGUGUGUGCGUGAUGACGUCAGACGCCUUGAGACGGGAGCUCUAGCAAGUGCAGUGUUUUAACAGGGAUGCCUCUGCUUUUCUUCCCAGAGACCACUGCCCGAUCAGUCCUAGAGGGCGGAAUGAAACUCCAGUUGGAUGAACUUGAUGAAAGUUAAGAAAAAUCAAGAAAUCAUUGUUAAUGUAUUAUUGGUUUAGAAGAUUUAACCCUGCUUCCCCAACAUGUUAUUCCAGUAUUUGAUCACAGCAAUGGGAAGCUAAUUAACACACUGAGUUUGAGAAAUAUUCAGUGAGUGUUACAGUAAAGUCAGAGGAGCUGGAGAGGGGUUCAUAUACCCAUUGUUGAAGAUCAUGCCUGAGACCUUAUGUGUGUUAGGAGAAAUUUGAAGUGUUUGGAGAAGCAGUCUAGGAAAAGCCUAGAGCGUUAUGUUAUUCGGGUGUGAACGCUGAAGACCAGAGUGCUGUAGAAAUGCAGACAGGAAGCACUGCUCUGGAGGCCGCUGGUGUUUACAGGAAUGUCAACUACUACAUUAGGUAUCACAUUGGAGGCUACUCAUGUUACAUUCUAGCUAAGAAUUUGUCUGUAUUCUGCCCACAUCCUGAGACUUUCUAAGGUGCUAAGUUUAAAGGUAGUGAAGUAAUUAAUUUAUCAGGGAAAAUUCAAGACAGCUUAGUGUUCAGGUUAUGCUAUCGUCUUGACUGGAGGCUUUUUAGACAUAUUUACAGUGAGAACUGGGAGCCAAAAGCAGAGGAGAAGAUUUGAGAAGCAGGCCGUUUGGCUAGAAGAGCAGCAAGUUAAUGUCUGUGGCAUAGAAGGGUAUGGUUGUUAAGGAGAUUUGUAUCCACAGAUAUUUAUGUUAAGCAAAAUGAGCCAAACUCAGAAAGACAAAAGUACCAUACUUUCUAUCAUAUGUGGACUCCAUGUUUGAAGGGCAUACAAGUAGAAGAGGGACUAUGAUUGGGGAGAGAGCUUUAAAAGGAGAGUUUAAAUGAUGGAGUAAACAAUAGAAUAUUCAUAAAAUGAAAGCAAGAGGGACUAUCUGGGAGAGGAAGGAGACCAAUGACGGGAUAGGAGGAGCACAGGAGGCAAGAAAGGGAUUUAAUAAGAAUAAAUUAUUGUAAUAUAUAUGUGUGAAGAUGGCACAAUAAAACCAUUACUUUGUAGGCCAACUAAAAAUUUACUUCUUAGAAAAGAAAACUGGUUGUGGUGAUACAUGUCUAAAAUUCCAGCACUUGUAUGUUUUUGAAACAGGUUCUCAAAAUAC